ensembl:lncRNA
CAAAAACUAGCAAUUUCAUCUGAAUCUGAAUCCCGCGGCUCCUUCUCCAAGUGCCUGGAGGAACUGCAUCACGUAAUCUACAAGGAACAAUUUCUCUUGAGGGUCAUGAGGUGAUUGUGGGAGAGAUUAAACUAAUGUACGGAUCACCGAAACCUUCUUCCUCCUGGGCACACACCUAGAGGUAAGCUGUGCUUCAAGAGGCAACA